AUAUUGGUCUUGUAAACCAAAGAUAAAAUAUUUCUCUAGUAUCAGUAAAAAAAAUAU
rnacentral:tRNA from 1 species